rnacentral:rRNA from 1 species
AUUGAACGCUGGCGGCAGGCCUAACACAUGCAAGUCGAACGAGUGGGGGACGGGUGACCAAUGUAUGGGCAACGGCCUGAGGGAGGGGGAUCACUACCGGGAACUAUAGCUAAUAACGCAUACAAGCAGCUAUGCCCAGAUGGGAUUAGCUUGUGGGUGGGGUAAAGCCUCACCACGGCGACGAUCCCUAGCUGGUCUGAGAGGAUGACCAGCCACACUGGAACUGAGACACGGUCCAGACUCCUACGGGAGGCAGCAGUGGGGAAUAUUGCACAAUGGGCGCAAGCCGGAUGCAGCCAUGCCGCGUGUAUGAAGAAGGCCUUCGGGUUGUAAAGUACUUUCAGUGGGGAGGCGUUACCAGCAGAAGAAGCACCGGCUAACUCCGUGCCAGCAGCCGCGGUAAUUC